GACGUAGGGCGCGAGCGUUGUCCGGAUUUAUUGGGCGUAAAGAGCUCGUAGGCGGCUCGUUGCGUCAACCGUGAAAACCCGGGGCUUAACUUCGGGCUUGCGGUUGAUACGGGUGGGCUGGAGUUCGGUAGGGGAGACUGGAAUUCCUGGUGUAGCGGUGAAAUGCGCAGAUAUCAGGAGGAACACCGGUGGCGAAGGCGGGUCUCUGGGCCUGUACUGACGCUGAGGAGCGAAAGCGUGGGGAGCGAACAGG
rnacentral:rRNA from 1 species